GGCAGCCGCGGUCCAGCGACAGGGGUGAGACGAAGGGAGGUAGCGCUGUGCGGAAUCACAGGGCGUAAAGCGCACGUAGGCGGAUGCGUCAGUCAGGGGUGAAAGCCCGGGGCUCAACGUCGGAACUGCCUUUGGUACAGCACGUCUGGAGUCCGGAAGGGGUGGGUGGAAUUCCUAGUGUAGGGGUGAAAUUCGUAGAUAGUAGGAAGAGCACCGGUGGCGAAGGCGGCCCACUGGUCCGGUACUGACGCUGAGGUGCGAAAGCGUGGGGAGCAAACAGGAUUAGAUACCCGGGUAGUC
rnacentral:rRNA from 1 species